GCAGUGUAUGGUUAUGUUUGUAAGCAAGUUGUGUUCAAGUCACACGCAUACUUAACCAAACUAUUCGACUUUGCAGGAUUUCUGUCGAAUAGUUUUCUAUUUUAGAUUGUUUGUAAAUCAAUUAUUAUUAUUGGAAAAAGCUGCAUUGGAUCAGAUAAAGCAUAUGACAAGAAAACCCAGAAGAUGAUGACCAGCAUUUUCUUACAAUUGAUGGUACAAUUGAUGCAGUGGAUAGUGGAUACCAGUAAUAACGCAGAAUUACUUUUGAUAGAGCUGGACAGUAUGAAGACUGAAUAAAGUUCUUUCAAGCGAUCCGUCAGAAACCAUAAGAAGAUAACCAUUUUUUUCUAAGUUCAGACCUUGCAGUAACCAGCAAUCUGUCAACUCAUCAACUUAUAAUAUAAAAAUGAGAUCUUCACCUUCACAUAUUGAAAAAAGACAUGCUAGGUGGAAACAGUGGAAUCAAUUUGCAAGAAUUAUUAAAUAAGAUACAAGAUAUGCUCAUAGACAUAACUUCAGUGUCAAGUAUUGCUGCAAUCUAAGCAAGACUAGAAGCGACACAAAAAAUACAUUUCACAUGAAGGAAUAUUUUUUGGCUCAUUCUGUAUCAGAAUUACGCAUUUGUUAAAAAUUUAGAAUAUUU